UGUGGUCUAGUGGUCAGGAUUCGUGGUUUUCACCCACGCGGCCCGGGUCCGAUUCCCGGCA
rfam:Strongyloides venezuelensis genome assembly, scaffold: SVE_scaffold0000034